rfam:Arabis alpina cultivar Pajares scaff_41350_1_contig_0, whole genome shotgun sequence.
CCGACCUUAGCUCAGUUGGUAGAGCGGAGGACUGUAGUUGAAGUAGAAAAAUCUUUAGGUCAUUGGUUCGAAUCCGGUAGGUCGGA